rnacentral:lncRNA from 1 species
GAAAUGGUCUUGGAUGUGGUGUUUGGGAGGGGACCCAAAUGUCUGGCAGGAACUUUUCAGUCUCUGGAAUUGGAGGGACCACCAGACUUCCAGCUGCAGGGGAUGGUCUGCCCAGUAACAGGACUCUCAGGAUUCCUUCCAAAGAAAGGGAAUGGACUCCAAUCCUGGGCUGGGUCUGCUUCUGUAACAAGAUCUGCAUGCCAUUUUGAUAAAGGCUUUGGACUUCUGCCAGUUCUCCUGUAGGAAGCCCAGACUACCAUGCUUACACCAUCCUGCAGAGAGCCACAUUGUGGGAAGCAGAGACGCACCAUUUCUCACCAGUGAUCCCAGACCAGCUAGUCCACAAGAGCCCAGUAACAGGCCAAAGAUACCCAAGUGAGUCAGCUGGGAGCAAAGGAGUCACCCAGCCAAGCCCGACCUGCAUGGCUGAUUGUCUGUUUGUGGUCCUGGCUCUCCUGGCUCCCGAGAUACAGAUCAACUGGCCUCGAACUCACGGAGAUCCUACUGCCUCUGCCUUCUAGUGUUGGGAUUAGAGGGAGCAGGUGAUAGCACAGUGGUGACAAGCCAUCUGCGCUGGUCCGUACAGCCCCUGUCAGCAUCCUUCUGCCUCAACUUCCCUCCUGCUGAGUUCUUCAUUUGGGGCCCACAAAGCCAUGUAUGCUCGUUAAAAAAACAACAA